ACUGUUUUUUUACAAUCACUCGUUUGGCCUGGAUCGACGAAUGCCCCGUUUCAUACGAGCCUCGAAUUCCUGCCGACCUUUUUAUCGGUCUCGUUUAAAUAGCUAGUAAUACGUAGACAAUUUGUCGGCCAGAGAGAACAAGGAUGGUAUCUGAUUCAGACACUGCAGCUUUCUAAUUGACUUCAAGUUAAAUUUAUAAUAAUCCCAAACUAAAUCGAGCAGUUAACAACGUCUGACCUAGUGUUAACCAAUUUUUCCUGCGGUUUUCGAAAGUGUAAAAUAGUUGAAUAAUAAAACGAUCAAUUCCUGACAUUAGAUUGCAAUUGGUCAAAUACAGGUCAGGAAAUUUUAUGUAUAAAAUAUUCUGAAAUUUCAUUAGCAUCGUAAUAACGUGCAAUUGGCAUGACGAUGUUGGUAAGAAAUUAAUCUUGCAAACAUACAUUUAGAAAGAGAAAUAGUGUACAACAUGAAUAAUGGCCUUAAACGUCUAAUUAGCCAAUACCAUCUAUACAAUUAAUAAAUAUAAUGAAUAAUUGACUGUUCAAAUACUUUGCUAAUUGUUACGCGGUAUAGCUACAUUUGCAAAAAUACAUAUUGUAAUUCCUCUAUACAGUCUCAAACUCGUUUCAACGUAAUCACAAUAACCAAAUCUCACAACAGUUCUAAUGAAAUUUCAAAAUGUAUAACAUGCAUAAUGUAUUUAUAAAAUAUGUGUGCAAGUGUUGGAAUAUGUUUGUAAGUCUGUAUAUAGAAACUUGUACUCAAUGAGCCGUAUGAAGAUGUUUGAAAGCAAUCGGUAGAAAAAGACAUCAGGAGGUUUAGGCGUCGGUUUUCCAGCGACUUUUGUCGCGGGAAAACCACGGAACGCGUGUAACGUGGCGGCAGGCCAGCUAGAGCCAUUCAGCGGCAGCUCGUAAAUUUUCAGGAGCGGGAAUCCUCCUUCGGGGAGGGGUUUGCCGGGGCCGAAAGAGAGCGACUGCAGGAGCAUAAGGAUCAAGGAUCCCCGUGGUGAGCGGGCCACGCAGCAACAGGCGGCCCACUUCGCUCCCGGCACACAUCCAUUACCCCAUCGGCUCAUCCCGUUUGCGCUAGCUGCUUGCAUUGAAAAUUUAUGUCCUAAUAAGUGAUUUGUACCGCGCUUCGAGUCUUUCCCCGCGUCCAAUCUAAAUUGGACAACCUGCCAGCAUCCACCUUCUACCGAGGUGAACGCGUGCUUCAGCCAUUAUACGAUUAUGGCUUUGAAUUUUUUCAAAUGGCUGCUGUUCAUCCUUGUAGUUUGGUCGUUUCAUAAUCGCUGUUUGUAUCUUUCUAAAUCGCUAGAUUUUAAAUAUAAAUUGUGUCGAGGUAUUAGAUUGCCCCGUGAGUGUUUUUCUUUCGCAAACAUGUUUUUUACAAUGCAGCUUCUAAGAACGCGAAACCAAGUCCGUGUAACGUCGCGGCGUUUAUCUCAACAGAACGAAAUGAGUCGUACGUAAUUCGACAAAGUAAUAUAAAACAAAAAACGUUGUGCGUCUAUUAUUUCCUCGUAAAACGAGAGAAACUUCUCCGACAACCAACUUCUCCAUUUAGGUUCUUAAGGUCUGAGAUUGUAUUUAGUGGCGAGUUAUGUUUUUAUUCGGAUAUGUGUAAUUUAGUAGUAGUGAUACACAUAUAUGAGUACGAGUGUGUGAAGUAUAUGCGUGCGCAGCGUAUGGUAAAACAGAAGAAUGCAACUGUUGCGUACGCACGGUGAUGAAAAAGAUGGCGAGACAAAGAGAGACGAAUAUCUUGUAAAUCACAUAUUAAACAAAUCUGAAACUAUUUUGAUAUCAAUUUUGAGUGUAAUUAUGUACGUGUAUAGCGUCUCGUAAAACAGAAGAUUGCGACUAUUGGUAGCACGGUAAAGAAGAUGGUGGGACAAAGAGAGCGCAAAUGUGUAUCCACGAAUAUCUCGUAAAUCAGAUAUUAAACAAAUCUGAAACUAUUUUCAUAUCGAUCCCAAGUGUAAUGUUUUAUGAAAGAAAACAAGAUAAGCGAAAGGUGUUGGGGUAAUUUAAAUUAUUCAAAUUAGAGUUGGAUAUUCAAAUUGGAAACACCUGAUAGAACGACAUUUUAGAAAAUCGAUUGGGAGAAAAUACAUCGAAUGUCUUCAUUCGGGAAUCAUUCGACUCGUCUCGUCCAGGAUUCGACCGGAUACGGCCAUUAAACAUCCGCUACAUCUCGGUUCGCAUAAAAACUCCAUGAAGUAGCAAUCCCGAGGGUGUAAAUUAAGUAUUGUUAACCGGUCAUCUGCAAAGUUGAAUCUCGCAAGGAAGAAUAUGAUGGCUGCCGCGUGAAUGUCCGAGUGCGUGUGUAACGUUAACGCGGAACUAGCUGUAUAUUUGACAGGGUAUUGCUUAUGCAUGCUGAUUGAUUAAUGCAUACUAAUGAAAAAAAGUUUUUGUUGUUACUAAGAUGAAAUAUGCGACGCGACUGGGAAAACCAGUUCUAGUCUAGCGUUCCCGUGUUAGUUUCGCCUGUUAGGCAUGGUAUAAUCGUGAAUGCGCACAUACGUCUGCGCGUUCUCAUCAUCAUGCGUGGCCGAUACCGUCUGCCUCGACCAUCCUUCGAUCUCUACGGGCUUGUUAAUUUCCUAUUAGAAAUCAGGUGGAAAAAGACGAUCGUUCGACCAACUCGUUGGCGAGCUUUAAUUCGAGAUUAAACAGUGCGUCGAAGAUUACCAUAAUAAAAGCAGGUAGAUUCAUUUUGCUAAGGAUCUUGAGAAAAAUUCUUCCAUUAUUCUCAUACUUAACCAUCAGCUAAAUGACAAACUGAAAUGGACCUAUCCUUUUAACCAGUCACACCAUUAUCUUCUACCUUUCACUAGUUAAAUAAUAGAAAUCGAAUAGACUACUAUAACAAGGAGGUAACUGCAUUUUCAAGUAAUUUCAGUAA
rnacentral:lncRNA from 1 species